UACGAAGGAUGCAAGCGUUAUCCGGAUUUAUUGGGUUUAAAGGGUGCGUAGGCGGACUUAUAAGUCAGUGGUGAAUCUCGAUGCUUAACAUCGAACGUGCCAUUGAUACUGUAGGUCUUGAGUACAGAUGCCGUUGGCGGAAUGUGUCAUGUAGCGGUGAAAUGCAUAGAUAUGACACAGAACACCGAUUGCGAAGGCAGCUGACGAAACUGUAACUGACGCUGAGGCACGAAAGCGUGGGGAUCAAACAGG
rnacentral:rRNA from 1 species